UACGGGAGGCAGCAGUGGGGAAUUUUGGACAAUGGGGAAACCCUGAUCCAGCCAUUCCGCGUGAGUGAAGAAGGCCUUCGGGUUGUAAAGCUCUUUCAGGAGGGAAGAAACGGUUACGGAUAAUACCUGUGACUAAUGACGGUACCUUCAGAAGAAGCACCGGCUAACUACGUGCCAGCAGCCGCGGUAAUACGUAGGGUGCGAGCGUUAAUCGGAAUUACUGGGCGUAAAGGGUGCGCAGGCGGUUGUGCAAGACAGGCGUGAAAUCCCCGGGCUUAACCUGGGAAUUGCGAUGGAGACUGCAAGGCUAGAAUCUGGCAGAGGGGGGUAGAAUUCCACGUGUAGCAGUGAAAUGCGUAGAGAUGUGAAGGAACACCGAUGGCGAAGGCAGCCCCCUGGGUCAAGAUUGACGCUCAUGCACGAAAGCGUGGGGAGCAAACAGGAUUAGAUACCCUGGUAGUCCACGCCCUAAACGAUGUCUACUAGUUGUCGGGUUUUAAUUAACUUGGUAACGCAGCUAACGCGUGAAGUA
rnacentral:rRNA from 1 species